rnacentral:rRNA from 1 species
AUUGAACGCUGGCGGCAUGCUUUACACAUGCAAGUCGAACGGUAACAGGUUAAGCUGACGAGUGGCGAACGGGUGAGUAAUGCAUCGGAACGUGCCCGGUCGUGGGGGAUAACGCAGCGAAAGCUGCGCUAAUACCGCAUACGAUCUGAGGAUGAAAGCGGGGGACCGUAAGGCCUCGCGCGAUCGGAGCGGCCGAUGUCAGAUUAGGUAGUUGGUGGGGGAAAGGCUCACCAAGCAGACGAUCUGUAGCUGGUCUGAGAGGACGACCAGCCACGCUGUGGCUGAGACACGGCCCAGACUCCUACGGUAGGCAGCAGUGGGGAAUUUUGGACAACGGGCGCAAGCCUGAUCCAGUAAUGCCGCGUGCAGGAAGAAGGCCUUCGGGUUGUAAACUGCUUUUGUACGGAGCGAAAAGGCCCUCUCUAAUACAGGGGGCUCAUGACGGUACCGUAAGAAUAAGCACCGGCUAACUACGUGCCAGCCGCCGCGGUAA